AGAGUUUGAUCCUGGCUCAGGACGAACGCUGGCGGCGCGCCUAACACAUGCAAGUCGAACGAGCGAGAGAGAGCUUGCUUUCUUGAGCGAGUGGCGAACGGGUGAGUAACGCGUGAGGAACCUGCCUCAAAGAGGGGGACAACAGUUGGAAACGACUGCUAAUACCGCAUAAGCCCACGGCUCGGCAUCGAGCAGAGGGAAAAGGAGCAAUCCGCUUUGAGAUGGCCUCGCGUCCGAUUAGCUAGUUGGUGAGGUAACGGCCCACCAAGGCGACAAUCGGUAGCCGGACUGAGAGGUUGAACGGCCACAUUGGGACUGAGACACGGCCCAGACUCCUACGGGAGGCAGCAGUGGGGAAUAUUGCACAAUGGGGGAAACCCUGAUGCAGCGACGCCGCGUGGAGGAAGAAGGUCUUCGGAUUGUAAACUCCUGUUGUUGAGGAAGAUAUGACGGUACUCAACAAGGAAGUGACGGCUAACUACGUGCCAGCAGCCGCGGUAAAACGUAGGUCACAAGCGUUGUCCGGAAUUACUGGGUGUAAAGGGAGCGCAGGCGGGAAGACAAGUUGGAAGUGAAAUCCAUGGGCUCAACCCAUGAACUGCUUUCAAAACUGUUUUUCUUGAGUAGUGCAGAGGUAGGCGGAAUUCCCGGUGUAGCGGUGGAAUGCGUAGAUAUCGGGAGGAACACCAGUGGCGAAGGCGGCCUACUGGGCACCAACUGACGCUGAGGCUCGAAAGUGUGGGUAGCAAACAGGAUUAGAUACCCUGGUAGUCCACACUGUAAACGAUGAUUACUAGGUGUUGGAGGAUUGACCCCUUCAGUGCCGCAGUUAACACAAUAAGUAAUCCACCUGGGGAGUACGACCGCAAGGUUGAAACUCAAAGGAAUUGACGGGGGCCCGCACAAGCAGUGGAGUAUGUGGUUUAAUUCGACGCAACUCGAAGAACCUUACCAAGUCUUGACAUCCUGCGACGCACAUAGAAAUAUGUGUUUCCUUCGGGACGCAGAGACAGGUGGUGCAUGGUUGUCGUCAGCUCGUGUCGUGAGAUGUUGGGUUAAGUCCCGCAACGGGCGCAACCCCUAUCUUUAGUAGCCAGCGGUUCGGCCGGGCACUCUAGAGAGACUGCCAGGGAUAACCUGGAGGAAGGUGGGGAUGACGUCAAAUCAUCAUGCCCCUUAUGAGCAGGGCUACACACGUGCUACAAUGGCGUAAACAAAGGGAGGCAGAACCGCGAGGUCGAGCAAAUCCCAAAAAUAACGUCUCAGUUCGGAUUGUAGUCUGCAACUCGACUACAUGAAGCUGGAAUCGCUAGUAAUCGCGAAUCAGAAUGUCGCGGUGAAUACGUUCCCGGGUCUUGUACACACCGCCCGUCACACCAUGGGAGUCAGUAACGCCCGAAGUCAGUGACCCAACCGUAAGGAGGGAGCUGCCGAAGGUGGGACCGAUAACUGGGGUGAAGUCGUAACAAGGUA
rnacentral:rRNA from 1 species